GCGACCUCCAGAAUCCACCGGGGUGCAGCGAGGCUGUGGAAAGUCCCACCCAGAACGUGAGUUUUAACUUCUAGUCAUGGCGAAUGAUCGCAGGAGAGCACAGACUGGACCCUGCUACGAUCUCUCUUGGAGUGGAUCAGACUGAUGAUCACCAACAACCAACUCAUUCCCGGAUAAGGAAGAAGAGAGUGUCACCUACUUCAGUGUGGUUUCAACCCUACUUCUGCAUCUUAAAGACACUUGUACAACGUUGGACACUGUGCAGGAUGAUGCCACUUCAUCUUGGAUGCUAAUCUGCCAUGUUGACUUCUGAUUAACCCCAGGCCCAGGAAUGCCUCAAGAUUUCUACUUUACUUACUGUUGCUUGUGUAAGCCAAGACAACCUUGAUGUUAUCAUAAACAUGUACUUACCUAAGUCCUGUCCUUUGGCAAAUUAUGGGCUAUGAGACACAGCAUUCUUGCCUUUCCCUGAGGGGUCAAUUUCAGCGAUCCUACACAUUCCUUCUGAAGCACUUAUGCUCUUUCUAUAUGGUAUGUAAGCUCUCGGUCUGGGGAGUAACAGUGCAGAGAUCUACCUGUCUUGUUGCCACAUGUUUCUAAACUUUCCAAUAAAUCACCUUCUACUGAC
rnacentral:lncRNA from 10 species